rnacentral:tRNA from 1 species
GGGUAAGUAAGCUCAAUCGGUAGAGCAUCAUGCUAAAAACGUGAAGGUUGUGAGUUCGAGUCUCACCAUGACCG